GUAUAAAUUGCCAAGCAUCAAAUCAACUGUGCCCAGUAGACAGUAUCUCUCAAACAUCCAGUAUUUUGUAUAUUUCUUCUCAGUACUUGAUUUGAAUGCCUUAUUUUGUGUUACUGUAAAAUAAUGCACCAAUUUUAAUCAUAAUCAGGUGGGAAUUCCUUAUGAUCGUGAACAUUAUAUCCAUCGGCUUGGAAGAACAGGACGCGAAGGGAAAGAUGGAGAAGGGAUCUUAUUGCUCGCGCCAUGGGAAGAAUAUUUCCUGAAUGAGUUAAAAGACCUGCCAAUCGAGAAAUUCCCUUUACCACAAAUUGAUUCUGAAACAAAUUUUAAGAUGGAGGAGUCAAUGUCAAAGAUUGAUAGUAGUGUCAAAGAAGGAGCAUAUCAUGCUUGGCUAGGGUAUUACAACUCCAUCAGAGAGAUUGGAAGGGAUAAAACAACGCUUGUUGAGCUGGCCAACCAAUUUUCCGAGUCAAUAGGCUUACAUAAACCUCCUUCCCUCUUCAGAAAAACAGCACUAAAGAUGGGUUUGAAAGACAUUCCUGGUAUCCGGAUCCGGAGGUAGUACUUAUUUGGAGCAUUGAUGCAUGCAAGCAGCUGGUUAGUGUUGCUGAGAUUUAACUUGUGCUGAAAGACCAGCUUCAAUUUUUAUUCCACUUGAAAGCUGGUAAUAUGUGAUAGGUCUAGCUCCUGCUUUCAAUCACCAUACUAUUGUGUCUUCUAAGCUUUGUAAUUGCGAUUUUGAUGGGUCAUUCUAUUGCAUUAUCCAAUGCAGCGUGUUCAUGAUCAGGGUUUUUGGGUUCCUUAGUUGGAUAGAAUGGCAAUGCUUUCAUACACAUGCACUCCUGCUACCCUGUAUAUUGUUGUUUGGUAAUAUAAUUGUUGUUAUUAGUUUUC